CCCAGACUCCUACGGGAGGCAGCAGUGGGGGAUAUUGCACAAUGGGGGGAACCCUGAUCCAGCGACGCCGCGUGGGUGAAGGAGCGUUUCGGCGCGUAAAGCCCUAUCGGCAGGGAAGAAGGAGGACGGUACCUGACUAAGAAGCCCCGGCUAACUACGUGCCAGCAGCCGCGGUAAUACGUAGGGGGCAAGCGUUAUCCGGAUUUACUGGGUGUAAAGGGGGCGCAGACGGCAGCGCAAGCCAGGAGUGAAAGCCCGGGGCCCAACCCCGGGACUGCUCUUGGAACUGCGCGGCUGGAGUGCAGGAGGGGCAGGCGGAAUUCCUGGUGUAGCGGUGAAAUGCGUAGAUAUCAGGAGGAACACCGGUGGCGAAGGCGGCCUGCUGGACUGCGACUGACGUUGAGGCCCGAAAGCGUGGGGAGCAAACAGGAUUAGAUACCCGAGUA
rnacentral:rRNA from 1 species